rnacentral:rRNA from 1 species
CCUGAACGCUGGCGGCGUGGCUAAGACAUGCAAGUCGCACGGUGUAGCAAUACACAGUGGCGAACGGGUGCGUAACACGUGACCAACCUGCCCUCGUGUGGGGGAUAGCCGGGCUAACGCCCGGGUAAUACCGCAUACGGUCCUUUGGGGGAGUCCCUGGGGGAAGAAAGCCUGUGGCAACAUGGGCGCACGGGGAGGGGGUCGCGGCCUAUCAGCUGGUUGGGGGGGUAAGUGGCCACCAAGGCGACGACGGGAGCUGGUCUGAGAGGAUGGCC